AAUCAUCUCCCAUUGAAAGCUGAAUCAUGAGGAUACCAUCUCCAAGCAGGUGGAGUAUUUGAUCCCUUUAGCAAGGCAGUGAUUUUGAAAUUCGGGUUUAGACAAAAAGAUAUUUCAAGCUCCUGAAGAACAAGUUUGAAGGAUUCAGAGCAGAGAAUUGCACCCUGGCAUGAUGCCUAUGCCAGCUGGACUGUGUGAUUUUUGUUCUUUAGUAGAAGGAUAACAUGACAUAGCAGGAAUAAUACUGCCUUUUCUUUCUGGCAUGGAUCAAGAGAAAAGAAAAUACAAGAAAACAGACAGAAGCAAGGCAAGGUACUUCUAUGGAAGGGUGAGCCCUCACAGAUGGAGCAAUGGGGCGCGCACACCUGAACAAGGGAGGGGAAGGAGUUCUUAUCCCUGAUGCAUGUGACCCCUGCUGCUGUGUCCUUCCCCUAUUGGCUAAGGUUAGACCACACAGCCUAAACUAAUUCCGAUUGGCUAAUUCAAAGAGAGCGACGGGGGCUUCUGACAGCUUUGGAGAUUGUGACAUUGGAAUAAAGGAAAAACGUACAGGACUCAUGAAGCGCUGAAAUGUUCACAAAUAUCAAGCAAAAGUCAAUGAAAUUUAUUUUGAGCUAUUUACAUCAUUUAAUAAUUGAGCAAGGUAUACUCCUAUGAACAAAAUUUGGAGCAUGUUUGUCUCUCUCUGCCUGGCGUCUUCAGAAUUUGGAAACUAGUUAUGGUUUAUAAUCAGCUAUAGAAUUUUAACACGUGCUCUCAAAUGCAAGUUUCUGAUAACUUUGGAGAUUGUGACAUUGGAAUAAAGGAAGAGCUGGAAUGUUCAUGAAUAUCAAGCAAAAGUCAUGGAAAUUUAUUUUGAGCUAUUUACAGCAUUUAAUAAUUGAGCAAGGUAUACUCCUAUGAACAAAAUUUGGAGCAUGUUUGUCUCUCUCUGUCUGCCUGGCAUCUACAGAAUUUGGAAACUAGUUUCGUUCCCAGAUUUCCUAAACUUUCCAGAGAAAAUGGUCUUCUCCCUGGCUCAGCAAGAAGAUGAACUUUAAACACUGAGAAACUGGUCAUCUCCCUGGCUCAACCAGAAGAUGAACUUUAAACACUACUCUCAAUGACUUGAUGUUCCCAUCACUACUCCUGUCAUAAAGGGAGGGGACUCAGAUAUUGAGAAUUUUAUGAUAGUGUGAACUGUCUGGUAUGUCAUUUAAGUAAGCCCGUUGCUGAAAUAUUUUCCAUGUUAUUAGAAAGAGCUGAAGAGAGGGAUUGAGAUGGCUUCUUUAUUUUUUGUCUUUUGGGAAUUAAAGGAACCUGGUUCAACAAGGGCCUACACCUAAGUCUCUUGUUGUACCAGAGUACAAUUUAGGACUGCUCCUGAGGAAGGAAUUAGCUAGAAAUCUAGAGAGUAAGGGUAACAGAUUUACAUAGAAUAACAGCCUCAGUAUUUUUGGUUCCUCUCCAGUAAAGAUCACAAAGAAUAUUGCUAAAUCGCUAAAACACCUUUGCAAUAACGUAAGGGCUUACAACUAUAUACCAAUGUAGCUCAGUUACUAAACUGGAGUAAACUAAUUUCUCUUGUGUAGAAAAAUUGGUUGGCUGUGGUUUUAUAGCAGAUCUGCAAUUAUUAAUAGUUAUGCCAAUAAUCGUUUAACAGUGCAUAUGUUAAUAUAUAUGGAAAGACAAUGUGUAUAGACAGAUGUGUAAAAUUGAAAAAUAAACAUAUAACAAGAGAGAAACAUCUAUCGAACAGACAAUAUACAUACACAUCAAACACAACAGCAGUUUUAGUGACCAUAAUAUUUAUUUCUCAUUUUUACAUUGCUUACUUUAGUGACAACUGAAAAUGACAGUUGGCAAUGCAGCUAACAGUUUCAAUAAAAGUAUAAAACAAAAGACUGUGUACAAAGCACCUGUCUUUCCGCUUUUGUAAUCUUCCGUUGGAAAAAAUUUACACACCUAAGUAACCAUCUGUUUUCUUCAAGAAAAAAUCAUUCUUAUUUCUCUCUCUCAUCUUGAAAACAGCUGUCAGCCAGGAGGGCAGAGCUGAAAUUUAUUGCCACAUCACAUGAAGCAUAGAACAGACUCCACUACUCCUUGAGAUUCAAAACUUUGCCUCUCACAAAGUUACCUUUUAUUUUCCUCUUGUUUGUCACUCAUCUCCCCUAGUGUGCUCUUUUUAUUUCUUUUACUAUUAAUAAUAAAAUC
rnacentral:lncRNA from 1 species